rnacentral:rRNA from 1 species
UACGGGCAGCAGUGGGGAAUAUUGCACAAUGGGCGAAAGCCUGAUGCAGCUAUGCCGCGUGUAUGAAGAAGGCCUUAGGGUUGUAAAGUACUUUCAUCGGGGAGGAAAAAACAAAACUAAUAAUUUUAUUUCUUGACGUUACCCGAAAAAGAAGCACCGGCUAACUCCGUGCCAGCAGCCGCGGUAAUACGGAGGGUGCUAGCGUUAAUCAGAAUUACUGGGCGUAAAGAGCACGUAGGUGGUUUUUUUAAAGUCAGAUGUGAAAUCCCUGGGCUUAACCUAGGAACUGCAUUUUGAAACUGAAAUACUAGAGUAUCGUAGAGGGAGGUAGAAUUCUAGGUGUAGCGGUGAAAUGCGUAGAUAUCUGGAGGAAUACCUGUGGCGAAAGCGGCCUCCUAAACGAAUACUGACACUGAGGUGCGAAAGCGUGGGGAGCAAACAGGGAUUAGAUACC